rnacentral:rRNA from 1 species
CGGAGGAAAAGAAACCAACCGGGAUUGCCUCAGUAACGGCGAGUGAAGCGGCAAGAGCUCAAAUUUGAAAUCUGGCCCCUCCGGGGUCCGAGUUGUAAUUUGCAGAGGAUGCUUCGGGUGCGGCCCCUGUCUAAGUGCCCUGGAACGGGCCGUCAGAGAGGGUGAGAAUCCCGUCUUGGGCAGGGUGCCCGUGCCCGUGUGAAGCUCCUUCGACGAGUCGAGUUGUUUGGGAAUGCAGCUCAAAAUGGGUGGUAAAUUUCAUCUAAAGCUAAAUACCGGCCGGAGACCGAUAGCGCACAAGUAGAGUGAUCGAAAGAUGAAAAGCACUUUGAAAAGAGAGUUAAACAGCACGUGAAAUUGUUGAAAGGGAAGCGCUUGCAACCAGACUCGGCCUCGGGGUUCAGCCAGCAUUCGUGCUGGUGUACUUCCCCGGGGCCGGGCCAGCGUCGGUUUGGGCGGCCGGUCAAAGGCCCCAGGAAUGUAUCGUCCUCCGGGACGUCUUAUAGCCUGGGGUGCAAUGCGGCCAGCCUGGACCGAGGAACGCGCUUCGGCACGGACGCUGGCGUAAUGGUCGCAAACGACCCGUCUUGAAACACGGACCAAGGAGUCUAACAUCUACGCGAGUGUUCGGGUGUCAAACCCGUACGCGCAGUGAAAGCGAACGGAGGUGGGAGCCCCCCCGGGGCGCACCAUCGACCGAUCCUGAUGUCUUCGGAUGGAUUUGAGUACGAGCGUAGCUGUGGGGACCCGAAAGAUGGUGAACUAUGCCUGAAUAGGGUGAAGCCAGAGGAAACUCUGGUGGAGGCUCGCAGCGGUUCUGACGUGCAAAUCGAUCGUCAAAUUUGGGUAUAGGGGCGAAAGACUAAUCGA